rnacentral:rRNA from 1 species
AUUGAACGCUGGCGGCAGGCCUAACACAUGCAAGUCGAACGCGUGGCGGACGGGUGAGUAAUGUCCGGGAAACUGCCCGAUGGAGGGGGAUAACUACCGGAAACGGUAGCUAAUACCGCAUACCAUCGGAUGUGCCCAGAUGGGCUUAGCUAGUGGGUGGGGUAACGGCUCACCUCGGCGACGAUCCCUAGCUGGUCUGAGAGGAUGACCAGCCACAAUGGAACUGAGACACGGUCCAGACUCCUACGGGAGGGAGCAGUGGGGAAUAUUGCACAAUGGGCGCAAGCCUGAUGCAGCCAUGCCGCGUGUAUGAAGAAGGCCUUCGGGUUGUAAAGUACUUUCAGCGAGGAGGCGUUACUCGCAGGAGAAGCACCGACUAACUCCGUGCCAGCAGCCGCGGUAAUUC